GUGUUGCCUACCUGCAAUACCCGUUAGGCGCUACGGCCCCCUGAGGUAGGAAAACUAAAAGUGCGGUAAAGCAUAACUGCAUUUUCCAAACGGAGAAAAACAGGUCGGAAAAAAAUUGGUUGGACAAAACCUAGGUUGGACAGCACUUUUUGGGAUUUGGGAAAAAUCGUCAGGUCGGAGGUAAAUGGGUCGGACAAUCUAAAUACACUCAACGCCUGCGGCGCGUAGGGUACGCCUGCCCGCCAAGUGUCUGUGUGGAGAUGGUGGCCUACCCUCAGCGCCUGAGCGGCGAUACCCCCUGCUAGCCAACUGGUCCCGUCAAACCGUGGACGUACAGACCCUGCAACGAGACUACACAUGUGCAACAUUGUUGUUUGUUGUUGACUUCGCGGAGGGAGACCGUCCAACAGUUGCAUCUGUGCUUAGACGUCAGCUAACCAGCCGCUAGCUGUCACCUGAUGUUUGCUGAGUUGUCGUCACAGCACACAGCAUGAGAAAUGGCCCCUUUUUCCCAUGGUCUUAGGAAUGAAUCUUGUAUUUAGAUUCACCCCAAGUCACCAGCAGAAACAAGCCGGCUUCUUGAGGAAGACUUACUCUUAUAAUGUAAAUUAUUUGAAACAAUAAAGAAUAAAAAAUGACUA